rnacentral:rRNA from 1 species
CCCUUAGAUGUUCUGGGCCGCACGCGCGCUACACUGACGGAGGCAGCGAGCGUGUCCUUCGCCGGCAGGUGCGGGCAAUCUUGCGAGUCUCCGUCGUGCUGGGGAUAGAUGGUUGCAAUUGUCGAUCUUGAACGAGGAAUUCCUAGUAAGCGCGAGUCAUCAGCUCGCGCUGAUUACGUCCCUGCCCUUUGUACACACCGCCCGUCGCUACUACAGAGUGCCCGUGUCCAAGAAACGGUAGGACCUGUGCGGCCUCUCCGGGCGACCGGAGGGCCGUUACGGGGAAGACCCUUUAUUUGACGCGGGUCGAUGAAGUAAAAGUCGUAACA